UUUUUUCUUUAAUAAAAACCGUUAAUUGUGCAUUUAAUUGUACCUUCUAUAAUAUAUAGGCAUUUACUUCGCGAGAUGAUGGUAUCGUGUAUCAAUGAGUAUAUUACAGGCGAUGUGAUUACUCGCAUGGCAUUUAAAUGGUCUGCUCAGGAUGGAAAACGAGAUGCUUAGUGACUUCAUCCAAAGGUUAUGCACUCAAGGACCGUCCGGACGACGUGAAUGAAACAAAAUCGUGAAGGCAGCGUAAAAAGAUCAACCUCGAAGGACAACAUAAGAUACAGCUUGAACGUAACAGUACAAGUGUUUGCAUUGCGUCACAUUGCAUCACUGCAUUACAAGAAAAAAUGCAGUAAUACCAUGGUAUCCAAAUAAACAAUCAUAACACGUUUACAGCAGACCGAUCGUUAUCUUCUCCGGCUCCUGCUGUUGCACAAUCUUGUUACUUCCGGAUCGUCGGGGCUCAAGAACAUUCACGUGUGAAUAGAAAAAGGAGACGAAAAUAGUUUGUACAAUGACACAGCUACGCCGCGGUCACAUUUAUACAUAUUAGAUUAUUUAUAUAUUUAUAUAUUAGACUAAUAAUUAUCAACGUUGUAAGAAUCAUGAUACUUUAUAAAAAAUAUAAUUAAAAUACAGAAUAUUUUAGAUGCAUAAAUUUUUGAACCACUCGCACAUCUUUCUUCCAACCAGUGUUUAUAGAAACACGGAAAUGAAACAAAAAAGAUUGAGAAAUGUUAAACUAAACUGAAGUGAGUUGCUAACAAUUAACUGGGAGCCGAGAGAGGGUAUACGUA